rnacentral:rRNA from 1 species
UACGGGGGGGGCAAGCGUUGUUCGGAAUUACUGGGCGUAAAGGGCUCGUAGGCGGCCAACUAAGUCAGACGUGAAAUCCCUCGGCUUAACCGGGGAACUGCGUCUGAUACUGGAUGGCUUGAGUUUGGGAGAGGGAUGCGGAAUUCCCGGUGUAGCGGUGAAAUGCGUAGAGAUCGGGAGGAAGGCCGGUGGCGAAGGCGGCGCUCUGGAACGUUUCUGACACUGAGGCUCGAAAGCGUGGGGAGCAAACAGG